rnacentral:rRNA from 1 species
CACGUAGGGCGCAAGCGUUGUCCGGAAUUAUUGGGCGUAAAGAGCUCGUAGGCGGUCUGUUGCGUCCGCUGUGAAAACUCGGGGCUUAACCCCGAGCCUGCAGUGGAUACGGGCAGACUAGAGGUAGGUAGGGGAGAAUGGAAUUCCGGUGUAGCGGUGAAAUGCGCAGAUAUCGGAGGAACACCGGUGGCGAAGGCGGUUCUCUGGGCCUUACCUGACGCUGAGGAGCGAAAGCGU